rnacentral:snRNA from 1 species
GCUUGCUUUGGCUGUGCAUAUACUAACAUUAGAACAAUACAGAGAAGAUUAGUAAGGCCCCUGUACAAGGAUGACAUGCAAAUUCAUGAAACAUUGCAUAUUUUU